GGCGGCAGCACCAUGGCCGAGACGGAGCGUCCAGAAGAGGCGGCCCGGUUGUGGCGAGACGCCGCCCUGCGCGCCAGGAAGCUGGAGCUGGCCGCCCAGGAGGAGAGCGGCCCCGAGGCUGAGCCCAAAUCGCCGCCGGUCGCGCCGCUGGAGACGCUGAACCUGAGCGGACGCGGCCUGGAAGAGGUGCCCGAGGGGCUGUGCGCCGCGGUGGGCGGCAGCCUGCGCCGCCUCUCGGUGCGCCGCAACCGGCUGGCUCGGCUGCCCUCGGCCGCCGCCCUCCGCCACCUGGCCCACCUGGCCGAGCUCGACCUGAGCCACAACCGCCUGCGCUGCCUCCGCGACGACGGGCAGGCGCUGGCGCUCCUCCGCGGGCUUCGCAAGCUCAACCUCAGCCACAACCAGCUGGGCGCCGACGGAGGGGGGACGCUCCCUGCCGGCUUGGGCGAACUGCGGCAGCUGGAGGAGCUCGACUUGAGCUUCAACCGCCUGGGCCGCUUGCCCGAGCACCUGGCCGGCCUGCAGCAGCUCCGCGCCCUCGACGUGGACCACAACCAGCUGCCCGCCUUCCCCCCGGGGCUCCUGCAGCUGGGCGCCUUGGAGGAGCUCGACUGCUCGGGGAACCGGCUCCUGCGCGCCGUGCCCGAGGGCAUCGCUUCCUUGCAGCGCCUGAAGAUCCUCUGGCUUAGCGGCACGGGCCUGACCUCCCUGCCCGAGGGCUUGUGCCAGCUGGGCACCCUGGAGAACCUCAUGGUGGACAGCAACGGCCUGCGAGCCCUGCCGGCUGGCUUCGGCAACCUGCAGCGCCUCAAGAUGCUGAACCUCUCCUCCAACCUGCUGGCCGACUUCCCUGCCGCCGUGCUGGCCCUGCCCGGCUUGGAAGAGCUCUACCUGAGCCGCAACCAGCUGACCCUGCUGCCCAAAGACCUUUGCCAGCUCGGCCACCUCCGCACCCUCUGGCUGGACAACAAUCGCAUCCGCUACCUGCCGGACUCCAUCGUUCGGCUUUGCCACCUGGAGGAGCUGGUGCUGCAGGGCAACCAGAUCGCCAUCCUGCCCGAGGGCUUCGGGCAGCUCAGCCGCAUCAGCCUCUGGAAGAUCAAGGACAAUCCGCUGAUCCAGCCCCCUUAUGAGGUCUGCAUGAAGGGCAUCCCCUACAUCGCGGCCUACCAGCAAGAGCUGGCCCAUUCCCAGCCUGCCCUCAAGCCCCGGCUCAAGCUGGUCCUCAUGGGACUGAAAAACGCAGGCAAAACUCUGCUAAGAAAGUGCCUCAUGGAGGAGGAGGAGGAGGAGGAAGAAGAACUGGGACAGAGAGAUUCCUCUUUAACUGCAGCCCGCAAGGAUUUUGGGAAGACCCAACUGAAGGGAUGCUGCAUGCAGCCUCUAAGAGAGUUGUCCCGGCCUCGGUCCCCGAAACCACAGCCAAAUCAUCUCCCUAUCAUCGAGCAACCGGAGGCUUCGCCCCUGAAGUGUUCCCGUUUAGGAUAUAGCUCCAGCGAGCAGCAGGGUAUGCUCCUCAGCCUGUCCCCCAAAACUGCUAGGCCAACCCAGCUUGGACGUUCUGCCACUGAGCUGCAGGAUGUCGUCCCGCGGCCUCCACCCCCGAAAGCGAACGGGGAGAUGCGCUUAGGGUGUUACGCCCUGCCACAUGCCGCCAUGCUACCGGCUCCAGCUGCUGCAGGGUUGCUGGGCGGCAGCAGAGGCAUAGAGGUGACGGAUUGGACUGCUGACGUGGAGAGGAGCUUGACUUUUAUCGUGUACGAGCUGGCAGGUGACUGCAGCUACGACGUGAUCCAGCCUUUCUUCCUUUCUCCUGGAGCCCUCUAUGUACUAGUAGUGAACCUGAGCACCUACAUGCCGCAAUGUUUCUACCCCUCUGUGGGACACUUCCUUCACUGGCUAGGAGCAAAAGUGCCACAUGCCGUGGUGUGCAUGGUGGGCACCCAUGCAGACCUGUGUGCCGAGCGGGAGGUGGAGGAGAAGUGCUUAGACAUACACCGGCAGAUUGCCUGGCAGGAGAAACGGGACUAUGAAGGUCUCCAGAACUUGGCUCAGCAAGUUGACGAAGCCCUGGGGCAAGAUUUUGACCUGCGGUGCUCCAGCCCACAUGUCGCCUUCUACGGCGUGUCGGACAAGAACCUCCGGCGCAAGAAAGCUCAGUUCCAGUACCUGCUCAACCACCGGCUGCAAAUCCUCUCACCGGUCCUGCCGAUCGGCUGCUGGGAUUGCUGCCAGGUCCGUCGGUUGAGGGAGAAGCUCCUCUCCGUGGCUGAGCACAGAGACAUCUUCCCGAACCUGCACCGGGUUCUGCCUAGGUCCUGGCAGGUCUUGGAGGAGUUGCACUUCCAGCCGCAGGCUCGACAGCUGUGGCUCAGCUGGUGGGACUCUGCUCGGCUGGGCCUGCAGGCGGGGCUGACCGAGGACCGUCUCCAGAGCGCCCUUUCCUACUUGCACGAGAGCGGCAAGCUGCUGUACUUUGAGGAGCACCUGACUCUGCGCGAGUACGUUUUCCAUAACCUGCCUAGGCUCAUUGACAUCCUCAAUGUCUUCUGCCAACGGGAUGUGACCGUCUUGCUCCAGAAACUGCUCGGGAAUGGCCCUGCAGAUGAGCUGAAGGCCACACAGCUCCAUCACUAUGUGGAAGGGUUCUUGCUCCAUGGGCUCCUCCCCACUCAUGUUAUCCGGCUGCUCCUCAAACCCCAUGUCCAGAGCCGAGAGGACCUGCAGCUCAUCCUGGAGCUAUUAGAAAAGAUGGGACUCUGUUACUGUGUUAAUAAGCCCAAAUCCAAACCCCUGAACGGGGCCACUGCGUGGUACAAGUUCCCCUGCUACGUGAAGAACGAGAUGCCCCAUGCAGAGGCCUGGAUCAAUGGGACCAACUUGGGCGGACAGUCCUUUGUUGCCGAGCAGCUGCAGAUAGAGUACAGCUUCCCCUUCAUCUUUCCGCCUGGCCUGUUUGCCCGCUACAGCGUCCAGAUUAAUAGCCACGUGGUCCAGAGAUCUGAUGGGAAAUAUCAGAUCUAUGCCUACCGGGGGAAGGUCCCCGUGGUAAUCAGUUACAGGCCUGCCAAAGGUGCCCAGCAACCAGAUACUCUGUCCAUUGCUAGUCACGCCUCCCUACCAAAUAUAUGGACGGCUUGGCAAGCCAUAACCCCGCUAGUGGAAGAACUGAAUGUACUGCUUCAAGAAUGGCCAGGCCUGUACUACACUGUGCAUGUCCUCUGUUCCAAGUGCCUUAAAAGGGGGUCGCCCCACCCGCAUACAUUUCCAGGAGAAUUGCUGAGUCAGCCCAGGCCAGAGGGAGUGACUGAGAUCAUCUGCCCCAAGAAUGGAAAUGAGCGAGUGAACGUGGCUUUGGUAUAUCCACCAACACCAACAGUGAUCAGCCCUUGUUCCAAGUGACCUGGAAAUUGCCUGCCUUGGCCCCUAUACAUAAGGACACUCCAGCACCCUGUAAUCAAACAAGCCCUUACCAAGCAUUUUUGGAGAUAUACAGCCCAGAGAUUAUUCUGAUUUGUUUUUAGGGGCCUGGACAUCGCAACUUGGGAAAUAAAGGUAUAGUGAAAUCAGGUGUGUUGAAAGCUACACAUUGGACUGGGCACAGUUCUAAAGUCUGGCUGGAACUGAUCCUUAACACCAUUCAUGGGUUGGAGUUGUGCAUCCACAAGAACUCUCUGCAGCAGUUUGCUGAAGCAGGCAGUGCAGUGAAGAGUCCCCAUCCUAAACUUUCCUUGAACUUUUGCGUUCACUCUGCUCUGAAGCCUCCAGAUGGUUGUAAUAGCCUCGCCAUGGCGGCGAUGCUCUGGGACUGAGAAAUCUACAGACCUGUAUUGUGCACUUGUUUGGACCUGUUGAUGAAUGUAAGAUUGUGCUGUUGUCAUUCAGAUGUACCCGAAAGGAAUAUCUACUGAAAAGGAAAUAUUAAAAACUUCCUAUGGCUAUUCCCAUGCAGUUUUCCCAUAGGAAGAAGCUAACACUUCUGUGGCUGCGUUGUGCUGUAGAAAAGGACACAGGAUCAAAACUGGAAGACACCUCUUCUUCUGAAGGAUACUUUCCCAGGGACUGAACACAUAACUUAACAAACCCAAAACUGAAACAAUUUUUAAAGUAAUAUAUUAACAUGCAGAAGAAAGAUGGACUUGGAAGACUCAUCGCUUGACCUUCAGCCUCAGGAUCAUCCUCUAACAAAGAGCUGCUUGCCAGCCAACAGAAUGGGUUGAAAUGCUUCUCAGGGAUUAUGUUCAUUGUGUAGUUGAAAAAGCAACAACUGCAGUCACAAUCUGGGGUACUCCGUUUUCAAGUCUGUCUAAUGUGAAAAGAGGGGUCACUUUGCUAAGUUCACUGCUGUUCAGUGUGGUUGUUUGGGUUUUUUUUAAAGCAUCAAUCUUUAUUUUUGUAAUAUGCAAGUUUUUAAUUAUCUAUGCAGUUUAAAGUUUGAGUUCAUACUGGGUACAAAGUGAAGCAUGGAGAUUGUGCUAGACCGCUGCUGGGUCCUUAACUUUGUUGUCAAAAUAACGCAUGUAUGUAUCAUCACCGUUAAAAUAUCACACACCCUUACACAAUAUAUACGUCAGUUUUCACUGCAUUUAUUGUACAGACUGCUUCACCAACAGUAGCACAGAUUCUUCUGGGAUUGCCUUCACGUUCCCAGCUGGAAAUUCCUGGUUUGCAAAGGUUGAGAUACAAAAUCUAGUAUGGCAGGCAGUCCACUACAUCAUUGGCUGGCUUUUUAUAGUGCUAGAUUGGAGGAUGUCCUUUCGUUUGAGAGCCACAACACAACAGGAACGAGAAGGGCUGUAGCACAAGUUGAAAACUAAUUUGUGGCAGAUCCAUAUGGUGGAGAGCAGCAAAGCAAUCCUGAAAUCAUGCAUUCCAGAAAGUCCCCCUGGGAAAACAAGCCAGGGAACAAAACUGAGCCAGCAGCAGGAUUGAAGGCAGACAUCUCUCAGCACUAUAGUGCCACUGACAUCUUUAAGAACUGUUAAGUUUCAGAGGCUAUUUGCAAAUAAUGGGCAGCCCUGAAUCGGGGGGUUACCAUGGUAAAUUGCAACAAAGAGUAAGCUUUCUCCUGAAAUGGACUGGGCUUUGUUUUGGUAUAUUUAAAUCUGGAAUCAGAAAACUAGCAAGAUUAGCAUUUCUGAUUAUAACAGAUUUUACCCUCUCCAGUUGUUUGUUGCUCUUGACCAUGAAUCACAUCAACAAGUCAACUGAUUUGAAUCAUCCCAGGGUUGAUGAUCCAUGUUUUGUAGAAUGCUGCAGCUUAGUUUCAAAAGACGAAAGUCGGUGCACCUUCAGUGGUACCUGAGUAGUGGAACUUCUGAUCUCUCAUAGUGGUUUUACAGCUCUCUGGUAACAUUAACAACUUUGCCCACUGUGGUUAAAGGAGAUUGUAUUAAUGCGUCCUAGACAGGAAAGAUGGAAGUGUGAUACGUGCCAUUGCGAUUCUAUGUAGCAAUGCAUUUGGAAGUGUUUAACCUUAAUAGAUUGGUUUGGAACCAACUAUAGAAAAGCAACAAUCUUAUGAAUAGUUCCACACUUAAAAUGUUAAGGUGUUACUCUGACACUUAACCUAAACAACCAUUGUGUUUGAUUUAAUGAGAUCAAAAAUGGAACUUGCAUAAUCUACAAACAUGUCUUAGGUCAACAAUGAGAUUUUAAAUCCUAAUAGUUAAUUUCUGUUGUUGAAAUCUGGUAUUUUCUCUAGGGCAGUCCAAUUGACAACUCUGCAGAUUUCUGGCUAUUUCUAAUUGCACUUUUCUGUCUGUUGGAUCUUGUGGGUGAUUUCAGAUCUACAGUAGGAAUUCAAGUGGAGUCUUCUGAGAGACUGGUUGGCUUUUCAGUUUGCAUUCCUGAUGGCUAGUUAGUAUUAAGGAUUGAUAAGAGUUUCACAGAUUUCAGUGAACUUCAUUUUAAUGAAACUGACCAAGCAUCUGAAAUACACUGUUUUAGAUUUGUCUUAAAUUGGAUCCAACCAAUUUGGUCAUUCUCUGGUAAAGUGCCAAAACAGUAAUACUGGUGGUGGUUACCAUUUUCAGAUUACUGAACUUCUGCCAGAAACUUUAUGGGAUAAUCCAUAGAAUUAAGAUGAAGUAUCCAGAUAUACUCCUCCUUUGAUACAACUUUCCAGAUAACGUUAUGGUCACCCUCAAUUUGUCAUGUCACCCAAUCUUUGGGCCACCUGCAAAGGCCAGUUUUCACCCGUGAUUCAAGAUUUAUCCAUUCCCUACUGGAAUUCUAGAACUUUGGUUCCUGCUUGGUUGGGGACCAUAAAGACAUUCGGCAUCAUUGUGCAGUAGGGGCAGAGGCCAAACUUUUGUUUCCAUAUAUGAAAACAUUUAAGAAAACACAAUUAAAAAAUCCUUCUUGGCUAUGUGCCCACCUGGAGAGAGGAAGGAUGGCUAGGUCACAAUGGGAUCCUGCUGGGAUGGCAUCAGUGGAAGGCCUUUGCCAAUUUUCCUGAAAAGAGGAUGAGGUUUUUGCUUCAUUAGGUGCACACACAGACACACACACAGUCAUUCAAGCAGUUCCUUUUAAAAUGGCUGGAGAACUGCCCUUGGAAUCAGUCAUGUUUUCUAUUCCUAGGUUUGGUGGCAGGAAAAGCAGUUUCCUGGAUUUCCAUUGCAGUGCUGCCAAAAUGAAUAUUGGUAUUCAGUUCCUCAAAAGGUUUGACCUGACUUUCUGAUUCACUUCUGAAAGGCCGCGACAGGGGUGUUCGUAUUACACAAAUGAGACUUUGGUCAGCAAAGGCUGUGGGACUUUACUUAUGGCUGUCUGUCACUCCAUAUUACAGGCAUUUUUUUUUUACAAAUAAAACCCCCUAUUCUCACCAAACACAAACCUGAGAAUAAAAAUAAUCUUUAAAUUU